AGCUCGAGCAGAGCGAAUAACCCUUGAACACUUGGUACUUUGUUCUAUUGAAUCUUCUAUUUUUAGUUCCUUUUUUUUUUUUUUUUUUUUUUAGGUGCUUAAGUGUUCGUUUAUGUUACCCCAAUUUUUGCCAUCUAACUUCGUAUCAACACAAGAUAGAGGGAGGUGCCUCUUCUAUUAGACCUUCAUGUAAGUUUUUUUCUACUUACUUCCUACAUUUGCACAAUUGCACUGUUAAGUUUUUGUAUAAAUGCCACAGGGAAAUUAUAUGGCUAGAUUUGUGACUGAAGCCCUGUUCUGUAGUAAAUAUGAAUUUUGUCUUGUUUAUUUCACGAUUUUGGUAAUAAUUUCUAUUAUUUCUUGGAAUGAAAUUUUCCUUUCGCGGGUUUCCUUCUGUAAUGAUGAGAAAAUAUGUUUCUUUCUGUGGAAAUUCUCUAGACUGUUCAAGAAUCCUUUUCCAUGUAAUUUUGUCGAGGUUCAAGGUAUGAUCAUCAUCCUUUACAAUUGCUAUUUUAUACAUCUUCUGGAUUUCAUAGAUUAAUCAUUGUUGAUUGAAUACUAUUUGCUUGAAUGUUAAUCUAUUUUCAAUGUCCAAACUUGUGCUAUUUAGUAAAAUUCAGAAGUUCUUGUUUUAGGGUGUGUGUUUGUUGCAUAUGUAGUUCCUUGAAUAGGCAUAAAAUUCUAAUUUCAAGUCCUUUAUAUCUACAUUCUAAUAAUACUAUAAUUUAUGUAUUUAGCUGAGGAAGAAGUAAGUUUGUAUACAACUGUUGCUCGCCUGUGUCUGUCCCAUGGCUAACAUACCGCAUGUUGGGGAUAAGGUCUUUUACUUUUCUCAGGGUCACUGGAGUACUAAUGUGCCACAUAAGGUAUGGAAUUCAGUUGUCUUUCUGUGUAGUCAAUCAAGUUAAAAUGAAAUGAGAACAUAGUCCCUUGAAAACUGUGCAUAUGAUUACAGAGAUGACAUGAGGAAUUAUAUAGUUCUAAAUGAACUUCUUUUAUAAAUUUCUACAAGUGAUAUUUUGGAGUAGCAGCAUCUAACCAACUAUAUAUGUGCGAGGUUAUGACAUGGAGUUUACUGAAAAUGUAUGUUCAUGGUUGGUUCUUUGACUAAAAUAUACUUGUUGCAUUUUACAUUUAUUAAUAUCAGUUCUUUUUAGAUUUUAGGCCACUUAUAUUUUCAUUUACUAUAGUUUUACUAUUAAGAUGCACUAGUUCUAAUUUUUUGUUGCUCACAUGAGUUCUUCUCUACUAUUAAAAGCAUGUCUCUAUAAUGGAAUAGUUUGUAGUAAGAGAAUGAAGUCACACUAAGCUGAUGAGAUAGUAGUUAUGAAAAUUCAAUUAAAAAAUUUUGUGUCUUGGAAGGAUAAGCUAUGAAAAACAUUAUGGUGAACACAAGAAGAGAGAGAAUGGAGAGCAGAAGAGAGAGAGGAGAUGGGAGAGAAAAAGGGGAAAUGAGAAAUUAGAGAAAAGAAUUUGAGAAGAAAAUUUNNN
rnacentral:lncRNA from 1 species